rnacentral:lncRNA from 12 species
CAGUUAAUUUUUUUUUUCUUGUGUUCAUAUAGUUUUGCUGUAAACUUUAAGCUAUGUGAUUUUUUUUCAUUGCCUGAGACAACAAACUGGUAUUUGGUCAUUUUAACCUUCAACCCCCCCCCCCCCCCCCCCCCCCCCCCCCCCCCCCCCCCCCCCCCCCCCCCCCCCCCCCCCCCCCCCCCCCCCCCCCCCCCCCCCCCCCCCCCCCCCCCCCCCCCCCCCCCCCCCCCCCCCCCCCCCCCCCCCCCCCCCCCCCCCCCCCCCCCCCCCCCCCCCCCCCCCCCCCCCCCCCCCCCCCCCCCCCCCCCCCCCCCCCCCCCCCCCCCCCCCCCCCCCCCCCCCCCCCCCCCCCCCCCCCCCCCCCCCCCCCCCCCCCCCCCCCCCCCCCCCCCCCCCCCCCCCCCCCCCCCCCCCCCCCCCCCCCCCCCCCCCCCCCCCCCCCCCCCCCCCCCCCCCCCCCCCCCCCCCCCCCCCCCCCCCCCCCCCCCCCCCCCCCCCCCCCCCCCCCCCCCCCCCCCCCCCCCCCCCCCCCCCCCCCCCCCCCCCCCCCCCCCCCCCCCCCCCCCCCCCCCCCCCCCCCCCCCCCCCCCCCCCCCCCCCCCCCCCCCCCCCCCCCCCCCCCCCCCCCCCCCCCCCCCCCCCCCCCCCCCCCCCCCCCCCCCCCCCCCCCCCCCCCCCCCCCCCCCCCCCCCCCCCCCCCCCCCCCCCCCCCCCCCCCCCCCCCCCCCCCCCCCCCCCCCCCCCCCCCCCCCCCCCCCCCCCCCCCCCCCCCCCCCCCCCCCCCCCCCCCCCCCCCCCCCCCCCCCCCCCCCCCCCCCCCCCCCCCCCCCCCCCCCCCCCCCCCCCCCCCCCCCCCCCCCCCCCCCCCCCCCCCCCCCCCCCCCCCCCCCCCCCCCCCCCCCCCCCCCCCCCCCCCCCCCCCCCCCCCCCCCCCCCCCCCCCCCCCCCCCCCCCCCCCCCCCCCCCCCCCCCCCCCCCCCCCCCCCCCCCCCCCCCCCCCCCCCCCCCCCCCCCCCCCCCCCCCCCCCCCCCCCCCCCCCCCCCCCCCCCCCCCCCCCCCCCCCCCCCCCCCCCCCCCCCCCCCAAAAAAAAAAUACCAGCAUUGCAUUUAUAGCCUUCUCUGAAAUCAAUAAUUUGUCUUUAUUUUGA